GACGAACGCUGGCGGCGUGCUUAACACAUGCAAGUCGAACGGAAAGGCCCUGCUUUUGUGGGGUGCUCGAGUGGCGAACGGGUGAGUAGCACGUGAGUAACCUGCCCUUGAUUUUGGGAUAACUUCAGGAAACUGGGGCUAAUACCGGAUAGGAGCUCCUGCUGCAUGGUGGGGGUUGGAAAGUUUCGGCGGUUGGGGAUGGACUCGCGGCUUAUCAGCUUGUUGGUGGGGUAGUGGCUUACCAAGGCUUUGACGGGUAGCCGGCCUGAGAGGGUGACCGGCCACAUUGGGACUGAGAUACGGCCCAGACUCCUACGGGAGGCAGCAGUGGGGAAUAUUGCACAAUGGGCGGAAGCCUGAUGCAGCAACGCCGCGUGCGGGAUGACGGCCUUCGGGUUGUAAACCGCUGUCGCCUGUGACGAAGCGUGAGUGACGGUAAUGGGUAAAGAAGCACCGGCUAACUACGUG
rnacentral:rRNA from 1 species